CCCAAGUUGAAGGCAGACACUUAACUGACCAAGCCACCCAGAUUUAAAAACAAAAACGCAACAACAAACCAAGGCCACAGAAAUUAAAUGUUGGUCCAGAAUUUCCACAGAUAGAUAGUGCAGAGCUGGGGCCUCAAAUCCCUGAACAGUGUGGAAGUUAAUGUAGAAAAGACAAAGAAAAGAAAGGAUGGUGUCUAGGAAACUAGCAUCACUUCCCAUGUGAUUUCUCAGUAGUACCAGUACGUAAAGAUGCACCAUCAGGGAUCAAGGUCAUGCUGGCUUCAGGAUAAGUUGGGAAGUCUUCCCUCCAUUUCCAUUUUGAAACCGCUUCAGAAGAACAGAGCUGAUUGUCCUUUGAAGCUGCUGUCUAGGUGUACAACGAUGAAACGUGGCAGAUGCUGUUUGUGCAAUCCUCAGUAUUGCCCCCGAAAUCAAUAUUACCGCCCCCAUUUUACAGGUAAACUGAAUCUCAGAGGCCUUAUGCAACUUGUCUAAUAUCAUACAGCAGAGAGAGGAUGAACUGAAGACAAUUAAUGUCUAGUUGCUUCUCAACUAUGUGCCUAGGUGGUGACCUCCUUUUGAAUUUGUUCCUUUUUCUUCCUGUUUCAUAAUAAUAGCUUUCUUUUCAUUCUUUCUCUUUUACUGCUAGGCAAUGACCAAUCAUACAUAUGUCGUUCUUGAGUUUCCUCCUAAUAAGUCAAAAGUAUUGAGUGGAUUUUCCUGUAAGUGUCUUGCCAUCCUGGCAAUCUCACUGUGGCCUGAUGUUUUGUGAGGGAGUUGAAAGGAUUAGUCAUGAAUGGAGCUUUUUGAGUUUAGCUCUCUGUUGACAUUGAUUUGUAGACUGUUUAGCAGUGGUGAGGAAAGAUCUGGCAGAUUAAUCACUACUUCCGUUGGUACUUUCCGGUAUUAUCCAUUGUCUUCCUUGCAGAGCUUGAAUGACACCUAAUUAAAUGCUCAGAAUAGAAAGGGACAAAGGAAAUUCUAGGAAAGAGAAAUACUACUUUGAGUGGGAAAAUCUAUCACUUCCCAGUGAUCAGUGGACUUGAAUCAAGUCAAGUUCUGAACUCUAGUUUCUCUCCUUCCAAGGAGAGCCACAAAUGAUAUUAUGUCCUUCUCAGCAUAUAUCAGGAAUCACAGGAUGUUGGUUUGUUCCAUUAUUGCUCCAUUAUUAUUAUUGUUCCAUUAUUGUUGAUAGUAAUUUUUGAUCUUUUGCUUAAGGUCCAAAGUUUGACUUGACACCAUAAAUAAACAUGUGUGCUAUGUUUGGGAAAUUGAGCCUGAUGAAUGCCGCCUGCCCAGUACCUAAAAUACUCAUAUUCUUAAUUCAGUAGAACCCAGAAGACUCAUCCCCAAGUUGAGCACAGGCUCACCCAUGUGAGAUGCUGAUUUACAAGUGAGUCAGGAGAGGAAGAAUGUUGAACAAAGGGCAGUCGUUUUGCCAAAAAGGAUGGCAGGAGAAACAUUUGGGUUUAGGGGAUGCAAAAUCCCGAAAAAGGUUACAGCUGUGACCUGGACAGUUAGAGUCCCAACAAUGGCCCUUGGUGCUUCAACAGGCUUGUUCUCUUGUGUAGGUUUGCACGUUGUCCUGGAAGCUUAACAUUGAGCUUGGUUCUCUAGUCCUCCUGACAACUCUGUAAAUUCUCCAAUCAGUAUUUCUUCUAAUAAGAUGUAAUUUACAUAUAAUAAAAUGUACCUAUCGUAAAUAUAUAGUUCAAUGGGUUUUUGACAAUUGCAUACACUUGUGUUAUUUCAACCCUUUAUUUGGGUUUCAACAAAAUAAAGAUAUAGAACAUUUCUGUCACCCCAGAAAGUUCCCGUGUGUGCCUUUAUAGCUGCUAUAUACUGAAUGGCUGUGUCCCCCCAAAGUUCAAAUGUUGAAAUCCUCAGUGUGAUGUGUUGAGAGGUGGGCCUUUGGUAGUUUGUUACAUUAUGAGAUGGAGCCCUUAUGAAUGGGCUUUAUGCUCAUACUGAAGAGAGUCUGAGAGUUCCCUUGCCCCUUCCACCAUGUGAAGUUAUGCCAAGAAGACAGCUAUCUACUGUUGUUCAACAUAGUACUGGAAGUCCUACCUUCAGCAAUCAGAUAACAAAAAGAAAUGGCGUUC